rnacentral:rRNA from 1 species
GACGAACGCUGGCGGCGUGCUUAACACAUGCAAGUCGAACGGAAAGGCCCUGCUUUUGUGGGGUGCUCGAGUGGCGAACGGGUGAGUAACACGUGAGUAACCUGCCCUUGACUUUGGGAUAACUUCAGGAAACUGGGGCUAAUACCGGAUAGGAGCUCCUGCUGCAUGGUGGGGGUUGGAAAGUUUCGGCGGUUGGGGAUGGACUCGCGGCUUAUCAGCUUGUUGGUGGGGUAGUGGCUUACCAAGGCUUUGACGGGUAGCCGGCCUGAGAGGGUGACCGGGCACAUUGGGACUGAGAUACGGCCCAGACUCCUACGGGAGGCAGCAGGGGGGAAUAUUGCACAAUGGGCGGAAGCCAGAUGCAGAAACGCCGCGUGCGGGAUAACGGCCUUCGGGUUGUAAACCGAUUUGGCCUGUGACGAAGCGUGAGUGACGGUAAUGGGUAAAGAAGCACCGGCUAACUACGUG